AAGAGUAUAGUUUAACGGUAAAACGAAGAGCUUCAACCUCUGAAUUCUCUGUUCAAAUCAGAGUACUCUUG
rnacentral:tRNA from 1 species